GGGCACUUGGCGCAGUGGGAGCGCGUCCCGCUUACACCGGGAAGGUCAUCCGUUCAAAUCGGAUAGUGCCCA
rnacentral:tRNA from 1 species